rnacentral:rRNA from 1 species
GAUGAACGCUGGCGGCGUGCCUAAUACAUGCAAGUCGAGCGAACAGACGAGGAGCUUGCUCCUCUGACGUUAGCGGCGGACGGGUGAGUAACACGUGGAUAACCUACCUAUAAGACUGGGAUAACUUCGGGAAACCGGAGCUAAUACCGGAUAAUAUAUUGAACCGCAUGGUUCAAUAGUGAAAGACGGUUUUGCUGUCACUUAUAGAUGAAUCCGCGCCGCAUUAGCUAGUUGGUAAGGUAACGGCUUACCAAGGCAACGAUGCGUAGCCGACCUGAGAGGGUGAUCGGCCACACUGGAACUGAGACACGGUCCAGACUCCUACGGGAGGCAGCAGUAGGGAAUCUUCCGCAAUGGGCGAAAGCCUGACGGAGCAACGCCGCGUGAGUGAUGAAGGUCUUCGGAUCGUAAAACUCUGUUAUUAGGGAAGAACAAAUGUGUAAGUAACUAUGCACGUCUUGACGGUACCUAAUCAGAGAGCCACGGCUAACUACGUG